rnacentral:rRNA from 1 species
GGUUGACCUCGGAUUAGGUAGGAAUACCCG